CCUACGGGAGGCAGCAGUGAGGAAUAUUGGUCAAUGGGCUUACGCCUGAACCAGCCAAGUCGCGUGAGGGAAGACUGCCCUAUGGGUUGUAAACCUCUUUUGUCAGGGAGCAAUUGGCGCUACGUGUAGCGUUAUCGAGAGUACCUGAAGAAAAAGCAUCGGCUAACUCCGUGCCAGCAGCCGCGGUAAUACGGAGGAUGCGAGCGUUAUCCGGAGUUAUUGGGUUUCAAGGGUGCGUAGGCGGAAUGCCAAGUCAGCGGUAAAAUCGCGGGGCCCAACCUCGCUCCGCCGUUGAAACUGGCGUUCUUGAGUGGGCGAGAGGUAUGCGGAAUGCGGGGUGUAGCGGUGAAAUGCAUAGAUAUCGCGCAGAACUCCGAUUGCGAAGGCAGCAGACCGGCGCCCAACUGACGCUGAAGCACGAAAGCGUGGGUAUCGAACAGGAUUAGAUACCCGUGUAGUC
rnacentral:rRNA from 1 species